ensembl:piRNA 21ur-11945 ncRNA
UUUAUGAAAGGAGACAAAAAA